rnacentral:rRNA from 1 species
GACGUAGGGUGCAAGCGUUGUCCGGAUUUACUGGGCGUAAAGCGCGCGUAGGCGGCUCGUUAAGUGUGAAGUGAAAUGCCGGGCUCAACUCCGGAACUGCUUUACAUACUGGCGAGCUUGAGGGAUGCAGAGGUUUGUGGAAUUCCUGGUGUAACGGUGAAAUGUGUUGAUAUCAGGAGGAACACCCAUGGCGAAGGCAGCAAACUGGGCAUCACCUGACGCUGAGGCGCGAAAGCGUGGGUAGCAAACGAGGAU